AUUGAACGCUGGCGGCAGGCCUAACACAUGCAAGUCGAGCGGUAGAGAGAAGCUUGCUUCUCUUGAGAGCGGCGGACGGGUGAGUAAUGCCUAGGAAUCUGCCUGGUAGUGGUGUAUAACGUUCGGAAACGGACGCUAAUACCGCAUACGUCCUACGGGAGAAAGCAGGGGACCUUCGGGCCUUGCGCUAUCAGAUGAGCCUAGGUCGGAUUAGCUAGUUGGUGGGGUAAUGGCUCACCAAGGCGACGAUCCGUAACUGGUCUGAGAGGAUGAUCAGUCACACUGGAACUGAGACACGGACCAGACUACUACGGGAGGCAGCAGUGGGGAAUAUUGGACAAUGGGCGAAAGCCUGAUCCAGCCAUGCCGCGUGUGUGAAGAAGGUCUUCGGAUUGUAAAGAACUUUAAGUUGGGAGGAAGGGCAGUAAAUUAAUACUUUGCUGUUUUGACGUUACCGACAGAAUAAGCACCGGCUAACUCUGUG
rnacentral:rRNA from 1 species